AGCAGCCGCGGUAAUUCCAGCUCCAAUAGCGUAUAUUAAAGUUGUUGCAGUUAAAAAGCUCGUAGUUGAAUUUCGGGAUCAAUAUGUCUGUCGUGCCUUCGGUACGUACGGGUAUAAUUGGUUUCUACCUUCUGAUGAACCUUGAUGCCAUUAAUUUGGUGUCUUGGGGACUCAGGACUGUUACCUUGAAAAAAUUAGAGUGUUUAAAGCAGGCAUGCGCUUGAAUACAUUAGCAUGGAAUAAUGAAAUAGGACGUUCGAUUCUAUUUUGUUGGUUUCUAGGAUCGACGUAAUGAUUAAUAGGGAUAGUUGGGGGCAUUAGUAUUCAAUUGUCAGAGGUGAAAUUCUUGGAUUUAUUGAAGACUAACUACUGCGAAAGCAUUUGCCAAGGAUGUUUUCAUUAAUCAAGAACGAAAGUUAGGGGAUCGAAGACGAUCAGAUACCGUCGUAGUCUUAACCAUAAACUAUGCCGACUAGGGAUCGGAUGAUGUUAAUUUUUUAAUGA
rnacentral:sRNA from 1 species